rnacentral:tRNA from 1 species
CAAACUUUAAUUUAAAGAAAAUAUUUCUUUUACAUAGAAAAUUUAAUAUAUAUUGUUAAGUUUGU